CUCCACAUAUCUCUGGACCUGACGGUUGUGGCGUUCUCCCUUCCAAGCCACAGGAGAACGCAUUCUUGUUUACUGGCGAAGCCAUCACCCUUUAGUUGGUAUCAGAUACUGACUUGGAACAAGAAGCAUCC
rnacentral:snoRNA from 1 species